UCCUCUCAGAAAUCAGAAGCAGGUCCUUCCUGAGUCACUUUGUAUGGCCAUGGCCUGCAGGGGCAAAACUACCCUGCGCAGGGGAGCACAAAGCAGUGGUUGCCAGUGCACUGAUUUUUAGCGGUGUAGGAUGAGCAGCACAUUGACCACUGAAGAAAGGCUGGAACUGCCUGUUUUGAACAUGUGCCUGGGACCCUUCAACAUGGGACACAGGGGCAGCUCCUGCUCACGCCCUGGUGCCCCUGCUUCCCAAAGGCUGCUAGAGUUCUGAUAUUAAAAUGCCUCAUUUUCUGCAGUCAGGGGAGAAAUGAAAUGAGCUCCCCAGAGCUCAGAUAAGCUCUGAUCCAUGGGGCUGGUGCAGCGAAUGGGCACCAUGCCACCCCCACCACAGCUUGCUCCUCAGCCCACCUCACUGUUUCAUUGCUGUCUUUCAUUGCUUUAAUGAGAGUCCCCCUGUGCUGAUGAGAGCUCAGAGUCCUCCUGGGCAGCACUGCUGGGACUGCCUAACACAAGCGUGCCAUGUUUAACCUAGAGCAAAGCUGUCAGUGAGAACAAGUAACAAAGCAAGGAGCUGUGUCACUCAUCCCUGCUGCACCCUGCUCCCCUCUCCUGCGCUGCUUUGUUUCCCACUAGUGGGAUCAGGGUUUAAUAACAACACAAACAGCUGUACAUGCAGCCCAAGUCCUCUGCAUUUGGAAGUAUAUCCAGCUGAUUCUUGUCAAGGAUCAUUAAGGGCCACGUAAACACCCAUGUCUCCCUGAGGUUGGUCUUCUUCCUAUUGAACUCAAAGCAGAAGCGAGGAAGCUGCUUUCCUCUCCCCUUCUCUGCUCCGAGGUAUUCCCAGACCUGGCAGACCCUGAGCUCUGCACUGGUGGUCCCUCAGCACCCUCCUGCUUGUUUGACCCAUGUUCAUUGGACACAAGGGGAGCAUCUCUGGACAAACAUAGGCAGUGCUGCCAGUUCAAAGGGAGUCCUGCUGUGAAUUAAAGGGCUUAUUAGUAUACCUGCACUGCUUCUCCUCCAUCAUCCCCUCACUGCCCAUGUGGUCAAUUAAUGUAAGGAAGACAAGAUAAAUCCCAAUGAGUAGAUCUGGAGACUUAUUUCUAUUAGAUCAGUCUCUUCCAUGAACAUUGUUGUUAGUUUGU